rnacentral:tRNA from 1 species
GUGUCUGUAGCUCAGUGGUGGAUAGAGUGAGUUUCUAAGUAAAAGGUCGUGGGUUCGAUCCCUACCUAGCACG